rnacentral:rRNA from 1 species
GUGGGGAAUAUUGCACAAUGGGCGAAAGCCUGAUGCAGCGACGCCGCGUGAGCGAAGAAGUAUUUCGGUAUGUAAAGCUCUAUCAGCAGGGAAGAUAAUGACGGUACCUGACUAAGAAGCACCGGCUAAAUACGUGCCAGCAGCCGCGGUAAUACGUAUGGUGCAAGCGUUAUCCGGAUUUACUGGGUGUAAAGGGAGCGCAGGCGGUGCGGCAAGUCUGAUGUGAAAGCACGGGGCUCAACCCCGGUACUGCAUUGGAAACUGUCGUACUAGAGUGUCGGAGGGGUAAGCGGAAUUCCUAGUGUAGCGGUGAAAUGCGUAGAUAUUAGGAGGAACACCAGUGGCGAAGGCGGCUUACUGGACGAUAACUGACGCUGAGGCUCGAAAGCGUGGGGAGCAAACAGGAUUAGAUACCCGAGUAGUCC